rnacentral:ncRNA from 1 species
UCAGGUGUCACAGACUCAAUAGAGAAGCCGGUGCGAUGCCGGCGCGGUCCCGCCGCUGUAGGGUGGAGCCAGGCUGCAACGAUGUCACUGUACGAAGUAUGGGAAGGCGCAGCCAUGGCCAUGAAGCCAAGCCAGAAGAACUGCCUGACGGA